GCUGGACAUCAUUACCUCCAACUCUGAAAUCCACAAAAUCUUUACAGGAUUUGUUUUUCCAUUGCAGAUGGUCCUUUGCACAUGCUCUCUUUGGCUUGGGGUCUCAGGCUGCUACUGAUAGGAUCCCUUGGCUGCAGCAUAUAAAAGUGCUUCUCCUGCGCGCUCUUCCACCCUUGCUCAGCCAAGAGAGGAGAGAGGAAGAAAGGGAAGGGAAGGGAAGGGAUGGCUGUCCAGUCAGAGAACCUCACUGAACUGACCUGACAGGGUGGCCAGAGGAUUCUUCAGCUCACAACCCAACUAUGCUUCAGGAGAAAAUGGACGCAGAAGAUGAAGCAGUAGAGCAGAGGAAUCCACACUAUUCCCAUCCCAGAACUGAUCCUCUGACAUUUCUUUCUGCUGCUGUUACAUAAGCAAGAGUGAGAUUAAAGAUGGUUGGAGUAAGCUACAGGAAGUUGAUGACUGACAUUCCGCUGAAGAGACUGAAUUCAAUAGAGACUGAAGAAAUCACCUUUAUCACUGAGGCAAUAUUAUAAAUGGAAGCUACUCAGGUGGCAAUGUUUUUAGUAAGGACUACAACUACAGGGUCCACCUGGCGUUUGUCUUAAGCACCGGGACAGAAGAAUAUCUUUUGUGCAAGAGGGACCGAAAAGUGGACACCAGGAAUGCACAAACAGUACUGGCAAAGCGCAGGAUUGGAGUUGGCUGGCUGAUGUCAGAAGGCAACUUCAAGUUCCAAAGUGUAUUGUUGUGGCAGCUAUGAGACCAGACAUGGUGUUGUAUUCUGAGUGACUCCACUAUCAUGUCAGGGACAUCGGUUUUGACUAUGCUGUGCUGGGAAUUGAAGUAGACCAUUGACAGAGGCCGGCGCU